GCGGCGGCACGUGGGACGGAUCUGUUGGAUUUACCCGUAACGAGGAGCGGCGCACCCCAGGAGCCCCGGCAGCACCCCAGGAGCCCCGGCAGCACCCCAGGAGCCCCGGCAGCACCCCAGGAGCCCCGGCAGCACCCCAGGAGCCCCGGCAGCACCCCAGGAGCCCCGGCAGCACCCCAGGAGCCCCGGCAGCACCCCAGGAGCCCCGGCAGCACCCCAGGAGCCCCGGCAGCACCCCAGGAGCCCCGGCAGCACCCCAGGAGCCCCGGCAGCACCCCAGGAGCCCCGGCAGCACCCCAGGAGCCCCGGCAGCACCCCAGGAGCCCCGGCAGCACCCCAGGAGCCCCGGCAGCACCCCAGGAGCCCCGGCAGCACCCCAGGAGCCCCGGCAGCACCCCAGGAGCCCCGGCAGCACCCCAGGAGCCCCGGCAGCACCCCAGGAGCCCCGGCAGCACCCCAGGAGCCCCGGCAGCACCCCAGGAGCCCCGGCAGCACCCCAGGAGCCCCGGCAGCACCCCAGGAGCCCCGGCAGCACCCCAGGAGCCCCGGCAGCACCCCAGGAGCCCCGGCAGCACCCCAGGAGCCCCGGCAGCACCCCAGGAGCCCCGGCAGCACCCCAGGAGCCCCGGCAGCACCCCAGGAGCCCCGGCAGCACCCCAGGAGCCCCGGCAGCACCCCAGGAGCCCCGGCAGCACCCCAGGAGCCCCGGCAGCACCCCAGGAGCCCCGGCAGCACCCCUCCCCCGGAGGGGGAUCCCGGCGCGCCACCCUCCCCCGGAGGGGGAUCCCGGCGCGCCACCCUCCCCCGGAGGGGGAUCCCGGCGCGCCACCCUCCCCCGGAGGGGGAUCCCGGCGCGCCACCCUCCCCCGGAGGGGGAUCCCGGCGCGCCACCCUCCCCCGGAGGGGGAUCCCGGCGCGCCACCCUCCCCGGCAACAACCUGUUGCCAUGUAUGGCGAUUUGUAUCAGUCACAAGCACACAACCCCUGCUAGUAUUAAUGGUGUUUAAGACGUUCUACAUGUACGGCGGACCGCAUCCGUCGCAAGCACGCGCAUAUAACCCCCAAAUGCCCCAUGAUGAGAAGCACAGCCACGCGUCAAAAAACUUUAAAAACAUCGUUAUCCAAUAUCAUUAAAAACCACACCGAAAUUUACACAGGUAGCACGUGACCGUGUUAGUGUCACCCACUGUACACAAGGCGUGUCGUAUAUGUAGUAUAGGUAUUUGAUGAGGCGGAAGCAUAUCCCGCUUCCAGCGAACGGAAAUAAGAAUCAUCCGUUCCAGCAUUUAUUCAAAGGGGGCACAGAGGAUUCACAUUGUUUAGAGAGAGUUUUUCUUAGUCACCAUUCCAUACUUGGGCAGUAUUGGCCUACGAUUUGGGCGACGUUUCAGGCUGGUCUAUUCUCCGUCCACUUUUCCCCGGCUAUUCUGUCCCAGCAUAGGCUCUUGAAAUAAACAAUGUUUACCGAGUAAAA
rnacentral:misc_RNA from 1 species